GGGGUUGUGGCUCAGAGGUAGAGUGCUCGCCUAGUAUGUUCAAGACCCUGGGCUCGAUGUUCAGCACCACAUAAAAAUAAAUAAGUAAAAUAAAGGUAUUGUGUUAAAAAGAAGAAGAAGAAGAUAGAUUUAUUUUAAAGAAAAGAAAAGAAAACCCAGGGGCUGGGGUUGUGGCUCAGCAGUAGAGCACUUGUCUCCCACGUGAAAGGGCCUGGGUUCGAUCCUCAGCACCACA
rnacentral:tRNA from 1 species